UGCAAGUCGAGCGGUACAGAUCCAGCUUGCUGGAUGCUGACGAGCGGCGGACGGGUGAGUAACGCAUAGGAAUUUACCCGAUAGUGGGGGAUAACCUGGGGAAACUCAGGCUAAUACCGCAUACGUCCUACGGGAGAAAGGGGGCCUUGGCUCCCGCUAUCGGAUGAGCCUAUGCCGGAUUAGCUGGUUGGUGAGGUAAUGGCUCACCAAGGCGACGAUCCGUAGCUGGUCUGAGAGGAUGAUCAGCCACAUCGGGACUGAGACACGGCCCGAACUCCUACGGGAGGCAGCAGUGGGGAAUAUUGGACAAUGGGGGCAACCCUGAUCCAGCCAUGCCGCGUGUGUGAAGAAGGCCCUCGGGUUGUAAAGCACUUUCAGCGAGGAAGAACGCCUGGCGGUUAAUACCCGCCAGGAAAGACAUCACUCGCAGAAGAAGCACCGGCUAACUCCGUGCCAGCAGCCGCGGUAAUACGGAGGGUGCAAGCGUUAAUCGGAAUUACUGGGCGUAAAGCGCGCGUAGGUGGCUUGAUAAGCCGGUUGUGAAAGCCCCGGGCUCAACCUGGGAACGGCAUCCGGAACUGUCAGGCUAGAGUGCAGGAGAGGAAGGUAGAAUUCCCGGUGUAGCGGUGAAAUGCGUAGAGAUCGGGAGGAAUACCAGUGGCGAAGGCGGCCUUCUGGACUGACACUGACACUGAGGUGCGAAAGCGUGGGUAGCAAACAGGAUUAGAUACCCUGGUAGUCCACGCCGUAAACGAUGUCGACCAGCCGUUGGGUGCCUCGCGCACUUAGUGGCGAAGUUAACGCGAUAAGUCGACCGCCUGGGGAGUACGGCCGCAAGGUUAAAACUCAAAUGAAUUGACGGGGGCCCGCACAAGCGGUGGAGCAUGUGGUUUAAUUCGAUGCAACGCGAAGAACCUUACCUACUCUUGACAUCCUGCGAACGUGUGAGAGAUCACUGGGUGCCUUCGGGAGCGCAGAGACAGGUGCUGCAUGGCUGUCGUCAGCUCGUGUUGUGAAAUGUUGGGUUAAGUCCCGUAACGAGCGCAACCCUUGUCCUUAUUUGCCAGCACGUAAUGGUGGGAACUCUAA
rnacentral:rRNA from 1 species